UAACUUCAAGACAUUCUAAGUAUAAAACUCUAUCGAUCAGCUGUAGCGUUUCUUUAUUCUUUUUUUUGGCCAUCUCCUCGCCCUUCUUUUCGUCAAUCGUCUCGGAUCUCCUUCAUAUUGAUCGCGGGUCUCAGCUUUCAUCGCAAAUCCUAAAAACUUGGGUUCGUCAUCAGCAAGGUCAUUAGGUCAUCUCCAAAAUUAUAAAAGUGCUAUUGGAUAAUUGGAACUCUUCUCGAUGUACAUGAGUGGCAGGAGGACAAUGUCAAAAAGCUGAGCCAAAAACAGUCUGAAUUGAAGGUUUAACAAUGUUGAUAGUCAAUCUGCGUGAUGUCCAACCUCUUCAAAAUAUCAAAAUAAGAGUUCGCGUGUGCAGAUUUUGGAGAGGAAGAACAAUGAAACCUGUGGUGCAAGAUGAUGGCCUGCAAUGUGUACUGGUGGAUCAGCAGCUUCAGAAUGGAGGUGUAUCUCGGGGUUGCAAGCGAUUCAACAUCAGCCAUGCUGAUAGGAAAACCAGCAGAUGUUCUGUUAGGAGUCAGUUUUGAAAAGUUAGUGAUUGAAGAAGGGCACACAGAGCAGAGCAGUCCUCCAGAACAAAUUUCAAGAUCAAGGGGUCUAUCCAGACAUCCAACCAUCACUGCAAAAGAUGCUAGCAAGCGCGACCACCACAACGUCAGCCACCUUCAAAAAGAGCUUUGCAACCACCUAAAGACUCAAACUCAGAAGAAACUCUUCCAAUCAGAACCCCGCAAAAAAAAACAGAAAAAGGUCUAAAGACUCAAACUCAGAAGAAACUCUUCAAAUCAGAACCCCGCAAAAAAACAGAAAAAGGUAAGUAAUGUACUAAAAACACAUGUUCCUGUCUAAACAUACAACCUUCCAUACUAACCAACAUUUCAUCCACUCUUCAAUGCUUUAAAACACAAGCACACGAGGAAGACAACAGCACGCCAAAAUCACCACAGGUAAAUGCCAAGCAAGAUUAAAAACUACAACUCCUUUUUUUGGAGAUUGUCAACAGAAGAUCGGUGAAGCCAGUCAUCUACUUUUUGCUGACUACAUGACCGUCCUUUGAACUGCAAUGACAUAAACCAUUUUUUAAACGGCUAAUGGUUUUUACACUUUUGAACAAUAUCAGUUGGCAGCCAAUGAAGCCAUGAACAUCUUCCUUGCUCACUAAACACUGAUGCCGUACUACUCUGAUUUCCCUUAUAUCCCAUAAGUCCUAUCUGAGCAGGAUAGAUUCUGUUCUCUCUCUUCUUAGAGCUCUGUCCGUCCUUUGCUUCCUUGUACAAGUGCCAAUCAUCAAUCAAACCUUGAAGCUGUUGUGGCCAAAAUUCUACCGUGGACAUUGACCAGUUUUUUGCACUUGCCUCCGACUAUUUCAUUUGUUUUCACAGAAGUCUCACGCCCAUCCCCAACAGCAUAUAUGCAACCAUUUCGUUUCGUGGAAAUUGUCGUGGUACCUGUCGAGGCUUUCCUUCUGGAACUGCAUAUAAUAAAUUCAAUAGGGAAAUCAGAACAUAAGAAUAUUUGGAAAACAGACAAAGAAAAUCCAUGUAGAUUGAAAGGAAGGGAUUGAAAUCCUGGAUCUGAAGCUUACCCUUUGCAAAAGAAGGCACCACCUAGAUACUGGUCCAGCUUCUUCACUUCUUCAACUGCAGCAGAGUAAUACAACAAGUCCUUACUAAUCCAUCCACAUGAACUGACAUCAUCCAGAAAGCCACCAUCAUCGAGAUAAAAGGACAAAAAGAAGAAGAAGAUAAAAACCGGACUUGAGACAAACUCUUCCGAUACAGAUGCACAAGGUAGCGUGCUUAACUUA